rnacentral:rRNA from 1 species
AUCGCAGUCUGCAACUCGACUGCGUGAAGCUGGAAUCGCUAGUAAUCGCGGAUCACCAUGCCGCGGUGAAUACGUUCCCGGGCCUUGUACACACCGCCCGUCACACCACGAGAGUUUGUAACACCCGAAGUCGGUGAGGUAACCUUUUAGGAGCCAGCCCCCGAAGGUGGGACAGAUGAUUGGGGUGAAGUCCUAACUAGGUAGCCGUAGAACGGUUAAAUUUCCCGAUGCCCGCUUCCCCCUAACUAUAUAACUGCUCCUCCGUUCUUAUUCUUACCCUCUGUUCCUAUUCCUACCAUGAUCCACAUCAUUUCAUUCGCCGCUCUUUCUCGGUUUGUCAAAACAAUUCUUUCAUCUAAUUCUAUAUUUUCUAACCAACACUCUGUUUCCUUCUCUUUACCAUAACUCUUUAUACCUUCCAUAACUAUACCCUCUUCUCUUCAUUUACCCAACCUCUAUUUUAUUCUCCCAAUCACACUCUAUUUUCACUCUAUCCUACUCUCCUUUACCCAUUUCAUCCUUUCGCCCAUAUACUAUCCCCUUACCCCUCCUUCAUCUAUCUUUAAAGCAUUCUUCUUCUCAUUAUCAUCAUUCAAAGCCACUUACCCCCCUCUUUUAUUUCCACUAACAUAAUUUCUCACCUACCCCAUACCAACUUACACUACUCCUAAUUCCAUUCUAACCAUACACCUACCCCCGCCUACUCUCUUCACU